GGUACAGAGGGACGCACUCGGGACCACCUGGCACCCCCAGGAGGGGGAGCAGCCCACGGGCAGGACUUCUCUGUCUUGGUCAUGGGUCUGUGUCCGGGGUCAGCGGGGCGCCUGCUUUAUGACGGGAGCUCUCAGUGGAUGGAUGGGUGAUCAGUGAGUGAGCCAGCGAGGGAGGGAAUGAGUGAAUGACCAAGUGAGCAAACGAGGAAGAGAGGAGGGAGCGCCGGGGGUGGACGGGCGGGCUGGACCUGACGCCGGCGCUCGGCGCCCACCGCUCCCCUGUGACCGCGUCUCCGUGUGGAAGCCUAUUCAUCCGUUUUACAAGCGAGGAAACUCGUGCCCUCUGAUUAGCAAAGCCAGGGAGAGGUGGUGCCCUUUUCCCGCCUGGGGACCCCCGUCUCCACAUUCGGCUGCUUUUUGAAAACCGCUCGACACCGGAGGCUGAGACUCCACGCAGGUCGGAGGAGCCGGCGCCCCGCCUCCGCGCAAGCGCACAGGAGCUAAAGUCGUAAAUUCUGCCCUUCCCCCCCAGCUGCAUGUUUAUUGCAACUCGGCCUGAGCACAACUGUGUCCUCGGGAGAGAGAGGAGACCCAGAGGUCUCCAGGCCAAGAGUAAUCAGCAUUCCUAUGAACUUUGGAAAACGCUCAGCUUCCAAGGGGCAUCCGUCCUCUGGCCUUGUCCACCACGGUGCGGCUCCCGGCCCCCCUCAGGCCCUCCGGGGCCCGCACCCGUGACCCGAGUGCGUUGGUGUCCUGAACACCGCGACCGACAGGGGCCCUUUGUGACCAUCAGCAGCAUCCUUGCUGUUGCCCCUUUGGAAGCGAAUGAUGUGUUGUAUGUUUCAGGUGUUGUUGACAUUUUAAAUCUUAGCUAUUUCAGAGUAGAAGUGACAAGUGUGUGUUUGGGCUUUGCUGGCUCAAGAAGGGAGAGGGAGGAGGGUCGGGGAAGGGGGAGAACGAGAGGAACACAGGAUCAGCUACGAAGCCCGGCAGGUGUUGGAGGCGAUGUUUGAGGUGCGCGAGAGGGUCUGAGAGCGGAGGACCGUCCCCCAGGCAAGAGCGGGGAAGGGGCUGGGACCCUCUCUGGCUCCGCAGUCCCCUCCACACAGACAGGCCGCCUCCUCUCCACGUUCUGCCUCUUCCUUGGACUCCCCAGCGCAGCGCAGCCUCAGGAACGUCGAUGGACACUUGUUACCAGUCAUGGUGGGAAGGCUCUUCCGUGCAACAGUUCCCCGAAUACCCUGAGCCGCCGAGGCUGAUGUCACUCUUGUCUGCAUGGCACAGAUGAGGAACCCAGGACCCAGAAGGGCUAGGCCUCUGAAUUCUCAGCGAGCCGGAAGCAGGCAGAGCAGGGCCGGGCAUCCCCUUCUUACAGCUGGGGACUCUGGGGCCCAGAGAAAUGGAGUGAUCGUGGCCAAGACCGCACGGCAGGCUGGUGGCAGAGCCGGACUCGGACGAGGCCUGUCUGCUCCUUCCCCACCAUCGGGCCACGUCAGCAAGCUCGCUCGGUGCCGGAGCCUCGCCGUGGGGCUCAGUGGCGCGGCGGCGAGUGUGUGCGUGGGUGAGGCUUUGCACGUGACCUAUCUCACCUAAAGGGAGCCGCGCUCGAUGUGCGCCUGCGUGCGCUUCGGCGGUUUCAUCUAGAGAAUGUUGCCGGCCUGGGACUAUUUUAAGCCAUUUUUUAAAAGCCGCUGGUACACCGUUCAGCACACAUCAGACUCCCCUUCAAUACGGUGUCGUUGCCCAACUGGCUGGAAGGCAUUAAAGGAAAAAGCACCGUAAAUCACAGAGAAGAGCCUCAAGGGUUAAUGGAAGUGUGGCUUUUGGACACAGCGUCAGAGACUAGCACGUCCAAGCCGGCAGGGGCUCCUGCCCUGGCUGUCGCUUCCAACCCCCUUUUAAAGGCAAGCUCUUAAUUGGACUUUUAAAAUAUGAUGCUUCUACACUUUUUGA